rnacentral:rRNA from 1 species
GAUGAACGCUGGCGGCGUGCCUAAUACAUGCAAGUCGAGCGAAUGGAUUAAGAGCUUGCUCUUAUGAAGUUAGCGGCGGACGGGUGAGUAACACGUGGGUAACCUGCCCAUAAGACUGGGAUAACUCCGGGAAACCGGGGCAAAUACCGGAUAACAUUUUGAACCGCAUGGUUCGAAAUUGAAAGGCGGCUUCGGCUGUCACUUAUGGAUGGACCCGCGUCGCAUUAGCUAGUUGGUGAGGUAACGGCUCACCAAGGCAACGAUGCGUAGCGGACCUGAGAGGGUGAUCGGCCACAAUGGGACUGAAACACGGCCCAGACUCCUACGGGAGGCAGCAGUAGGGAAUCUUCCGCAAUGGACGAAAGUCUGACGGAGCAACGCCGCGUGAGUGAUGAAGGCUUUCGGGUCGUAAAACUCUGUUGUUAGGGAAGAACAAGUGCUAGUUGAAUAAGCUGGCACCUUGACGGUACCUAACCAGAAAGCCACGGCUAACUACGUGCCAGCCGCCGCAGUAA